rnacentral:rRNA from 1 species
AACGAACGCUGGCGGCAUGCCUAACGCAUGCAAGUCGAACGAGACCUUCGGGUCUAGUGGCGCACGGGUGCGUAACGCGUGGGAACCUGCCCUUAGGUUCGGAAUAACUCCCCGAAAGGGGUGCUAAUACCGGAUAAUGUCUUCGGACCAAAGAUUUAUCGCCUUUGGAUGGGCCCGCGUUGGAUUAGCUAGUUGGUAGGGUAAAAGCCUACCAAGGCGACGAUCCAUAGCUGGUCUGAGAGGAUGAUCAGCCACACUGGGACGGAGAACCGGCCCAGACUCCUACGGGAGGCAGCAGUGGGGAAUAUUGGACAAUGGGCGAAAGCCUGAUCCAGCAAUGCCGCGUGAGUGAUGAAGGCCUUAGGGUUGUAAAGCUCUUUUACCCGGGAUGAUAAUGACAGUACCGGGAGAAUAAGCUCCGGCUAACUCCGUG